rnacentral:misc_RNA from 1 species
AGUCAACGGCACACCAUGCAAAGGACCAGCCACAGAAGAGGCUGAAUGGUAAACCACUUCAUGUGAUGUGCUUUCAUCAACUUCUCGAUAGAUAUGCACAGUGCAAGUCUGGCCGGUAACAUUUGUCACAACAAAUCUCCAUGCACCACCAGCUAGGCCAACUGAGUCCAACCAAAGCUUAACUUCCCACUCACAAACAGCCAAGCGAUGCAUCCGUACACCAACCAAUUCAUGAA